UGAUCCUACAAUCUGGCUGCAUCAUGUGUCACCCCAUGGGUUGCCAGGGUUUAUUUGGCUAAUCUGGCUUACUACGAGGUUGUCCUUCUCCUCUCUUGAGGCUCUAUGUGUGUCUUUCCCCAAGCUACGUUGAAAGGGACAACCACCUAGAAUAGAGGAGGACCAUUCCUCAGUCAAGGGUAUAAGAGUAGCUUCACUCUGCUGCUAGAAUCUCUAAACAAAACCUGACUUCCUUGGUGUCUAGGAGUCCUUCAGGCUAGUUCCUGUACUUCAUUUGUGCCAUCUUGGAUGCUUACCAAGGAACUGGUCUUGAGU
rfam:Cavia porcellus supercont2_0 genomic scaffold, whole genome shotgun sequence.